AUAUAUAUAUAUAUAUAUAUAUAUAUAAGAUUAUUAGCAGCCGGUGAUAAAAUGUAUGAGCCAAAGUGUCCAUCGAUUGCGCCGAUUGAAGGAUAUGAGCUAGGGAUUCCAGAUAUUUAGGGAUUCCAGAUAUUUUUUUUAGAAAACAACUGUUGGGAAGGUUAUUCGAUUGAGCUAGGAUUGAAGGUUAUUGUUGUAAAGGACAGUAUAAUUAUGAUGGACAGCUGUUGGAUGUUUAGGAGGACAGAUUGCGCCGAUUGAAGGAUAUGAGCUAGGGAUUCCAGAUAUUUAGGAAUUCUAGAGAUUUUUUUUAGAAAACAACUGUUGGGAAUGUUAUUCGAUUGAGCUAGGAUUGAAGGUUAUUGUUGUAAAGGACAGUAAAAAGUUUUAAUUAUGAUGGACAGAUGUAUGUUCGAUGCUUAGAAGGACAGAUGUCAAAUUUUUAGAAAGACAGAUAUCAAAAUAU
rnacentral:lncRNA from 1 species